rnacentral:rRNA from 1 species
AUUGAACGCUGGCGGCAGGCCUAACACAUGCAAGUCGAGCGGAUGAAGGGAGCUUGCUCCUGGAUUCAGCGGCGGACGGGUGAGUAAUGCCUAGGAAUCUGCCUGGUAGUGGGGGAUAACGUCCGGAAACGGGCGCUAAUACCGCAUACGUCCUGAGGGAGAAAGUGGGGGAUCUUCGGACCUCACGCUAUCAGAUGAGCCUAGGUCGGAUUAGCUAGUUGGUGGGGUAAAGGCCUACCAAGGCGACGGUCCGUAACUGGUCUGAGAGGAUGAUCAGUCACACUGGAACUGAGACACGGUCCAGACUCCUACGGGAGGCAGCAGUGGGGAAUAUUGGACAAUGGGCGAAAGCCUGAUCCAGCCAUGCCGCGUGUGUGAAGAAGGUCUUCGGAUUGCAAAGCACUUUAAGUUGGGAGGAAGGGCAGUAAGUUAAUACCUUGCUGUUUUGACGUUACCAACAGAAUAAGCACCGGCUAACUUCGUG